rnacentral:tRNA from 1 species
GUCUUUGUGGUGUAAUUGGAAGCAUGCCCGGCUAUUAAUCGGGAGGUCCGAAGUUCGAAUCCCGGCAAGGGAA